UAUUUUUGGAUAAUAUUGCAUUUGUAUUCAUAAAAGUGCGGCUGUGAAUUUAUUGUUUGCUGUUAAUCAUUUUGCCAAAGCCGAAAAUAAUUAACACUUGAUCAUGCCUGUAGGCAAAAAAGGCGCCCAAGGAUCUAACACAACAACAUUAGCAAAACAACCAUCGUCUGUAACUAACAACAGCGAACAUAGUUUGAAUAAUCUUGUUAAUAGACCCCAGCGUAAUGAUGUUCUAGAAAAUUUAACUAAAGAGCAACUAAAAGCGGAGUGUCGAAG